GGUGAUGUCAAGGCUAGAGGAGGUGAUGUCAAGGCUAGAGGGGGUGUUGUCAAGGCUAGAGGAGGUGAUAUCAAGGUUAGAGGAGGUGUUGUUAAGGCUAGAGGAGGUGAUAUAAAGGUUAGAGGAGGUGUUGUCAAGGCUAGAGGAGGUGAUAUCAAGGUUAGAGGAGGUGAUAUCAAGGUUAGAGGAUGUGUUGUCAAGGCUAGAGGAUGUGUUGUCAAGGCUAGAGGAUGUGUUGUCAAGGCAAGAUGAGGUGUUGUCAAUGCUAGAUGAGGUGUGGUCCAGGCUAAAUGAGGUGUUGUCAAGGCUAGAUGAGGUGUUGUCAAGGCUAGAUGAGGUGUUGUCAAGGCUAAAUGAGGUGUUGUCAAGGUUAGAUAAGGUGUUAUCAAGGCCAGAGAAGCUGUUGUCAAGGUUAGAGGAGGUGAUGUCAAGGUUAGAUGAGGUGUUGUCAAGGCUAGAUGAGGUGUUGUCCAGGCUAAAUGAGGUGUUGUCAAGGCAAGAUGAGGUGUUGUCAAGGCU
ensembl:lncRNA